ACUCCUACGGGAGGCAGCAGUGGGGAAUAUUGCACAAUGGGCGCAAGCCUGAUGCAGCCAUGCCGCGUGUGUGAAGAAGGCCUUCGGGUUGUAAAGCACUUUCAGUCGUGAGGAAGGUGGUGUAGUUAAUAGCUGCAUUAUUUGACGUUAGCGACAGAAGAAGCACCGGCUAACUCCGUGCCAGCAGCCGCGGUAAUACGGAGGGUGCGAGCGUUAUCCGGAUUUAUUGGGUUUAAAGGGUCCGUAGGCGGAUUAAUAAGUCAGUGGUGAAAUCCCAUCGCUUAACGAUGGAACUGCCAUUGAUACUGUUAGUCUUGAAUGAGGGUGCAGUGGUUGGAAUGUGUAGUGUAGCGGUGAAAUGCAUAGAUAUUACACAGAACACCGAUUGCGAAGGCAGAUCACUAACCCUAAAUUGACGCUGAGGGACGAAAGCGUGGGGGAGCGAACAGGAUUAGAUACCCUGUAGACUGUC
rnacentral:rRNA from 1 species